rnacentral:rRNA from 1 species
UACGGAGGGUGCAAGCGUUAAUCGGAAUUACUGGGUGUAAAGCGUGCGUAGGUGGUUCGUUAAGUCCGUUGUGAAAGCCCCGAGCUCAACUUGGGAAUUGCAGUGGAUACUGGCGAGCUGGAGUGCGGUAGAGGAAGGUGGAAUUCCCGGUGUAGCGGUGAAAUGCGUAGAGAUCGGGAGGAACACCAGUGGCGAAGGCGAGUCCCUGGACAACACCUGACACUGAGGCACGAAAGCUAGGGGAGCAAACAGG